rnacentral:tRNA from 1 species
UUCAAUAUGGCAGAGAAAUGCAAUGAAUUUAAGCUUCAUAAAUGAAGAGAAUUCUUCUAUUGAAA